GGGGAAGCCGGGGAGCGCCGGGGGCAGCGGAGCUGUGUGCUCAGCCCUGCCUCGCUCCGGUGCUCUUCCCGAGCUCUAUUCCCCGGGGGAAUGGAGCAGCCGCUUGGCCAAGGCAGCCGGCGCAUCCCCCGCGGCUCCUGCCCGUCGCUCCGUGUUAGAUCAGGGCUGGAGGAGGCUGCAGUGACCUUGAGAGAUGCCGCGUGGUUCCGACCCUCCAGCCAGCCUGGAGACAGCCUGGCAAGGCGUGAACCCUCAUGGAACUCAACCCCCGUGAGAUCUUUAGAACAGAUUGUGACAAACUGGCUGCCUACUGCAGUUGAAGGUGCUGAGCCCCCCCCUUCAUCUGGUGAAGGUAAAUGUUGUAUGAGGGAAGGACACACAACUGAUAACACCACAAAGAUAAUACAUAAAAGCAACGAUUUAGGAGCUAUGCUUGACUUGAAUAGGAAUGAAAUCAGGAGAACUUGUAGUGAGUAAAAAAUGUUUUCUGGUCCAUUUCAGUGUUACUGUAAGUGGAGGAACAUUACAAGAUGUUUGUUUCUGGAAUUUGGGGCCCAGCCCUAAGCUGUGAUGGUUAAAAAUAUUUUUAAUAAUUCACUAAUAUUUUAAUAAUGUGAAAACCAACAAAGCUGCUGGUGAGGUCUGCAGCUGGUGGAGGAGCUGAAGAGGACAAAAUGCUGCUGUUGGGUGUUUGGGAAGCUGGAGCACUCUGCAGGUGGAAAACAGUGGCUGGAGAGAAGUAGGGGCUCUGGCAAAUCCAUCAAAUCCUGGCUUGAAACCACCUGGGUGAGCCCUGGGGCUGCCAGCAGGUGCCAAGGGACAUGUUAAAAAUACACACAUUUUAAAGCUACUGUUUUUAUUUAUUCCCUUGGGAUAACACCCUGUUCUGCUCUGCAGUCAAGGGGAUGCUGAGUUUUCUUGGAGCAGAUUCAAGAAAAACAUUUGAAGGUUUGUUGGGAAAAGUGCCACCCAGCCAAAGCACCUGGUGAAUUUGGGCUGUCUCAAGGAGGGGAGGUGACUUAUCUGCCUCUUAGAUUGUCAUUUUAGGGUGGGGAUGUGUUGGGUUGAUGUGGCCAGCAAUGUGUAUUCUGUCCCCAUCUGCUGAGCCGGGUGGGGCAGUGACCCUGAUCUCCUGGCACAUAUUAUCUGCUCAUGGGCCAGCUUUAAACCAGCUGGGGCAAUCAUCUUUAUCUUUCCCACAGCCCAUCCUCCCUCCAGGGGGGGGGGGGGGGGGGGGGGG
rnacentral:lncRNA from 12 species